UACAGAGGGUGCGAGCGUUGUCCGGAAUCACUGGGCGUAAAGGGCGUGUAGGUGGCUCGUUAAGCGUGUGGUGAAAGCCUGGGGCUCAACCCCAGGUCUGCCGUGCGAACUGGCGAGCUUGAGUACAGUAGAGGCAGGUGGAAUUUCGGGUGUAGCGGUGGAAUGCGUAGAUAUCCGAAAGAACACCGGUGGCGAAGGCGGCCUGCUGGGCUGUUACUGACACUGAAACGCGACAGCGUGGGGAGCAAACAGG
rnacentral:rRNA from 1 species